rnacentral:rRNA from 1 species
AAUGAACGCUGGCGGCAGGCCUAACACAUGCAAGUCGAACGGGCACUUCGGUGCUAGUGGCGGACGGGUGAGUAACGCGUGGGAACGUGCCCCUCGGUACGGAAUAGCCCCGGGAAACUGGGAGUAAUACCGUAUGUGGUCGAGAGACGAAAGAUUUAUCGCCAAGGGAUCGGCCCGCGUUGGAUUAGGUAGUUGGUGGGGUAAUGGCCUACCAAGCCGAAGAUCCAUAGCUGGUUUGAGAGGAUGAUCAGCCACACUGGGACUGAGACACGGCCCAGACGCCUACGGGAGGCAGCAGUGGGGAAUCUUAGACAAUGGGGGAAACCCUGAUCUAGCCAUGCCGCGUGAUCGAUGAAGGCCUUAGGGUUGUAAGGAUCUUUCAGGUGGGAAGAUAAUGACUGUACCACCAGAAGAAGCCCCGGCUAACUCCGUGCCAGCAGCCGCCGUAA